rnacentral:siRNA from 1 species
AGCACACUGCCGCUACCACCACGA